rnacentral:tRNA from 1 species
AAAUAAGAAGUAAUAUUUACAUUUAGUUUCGACCUAAAAAUUUGGUGCUAUUAGACACCCUUAUUUA